rnacentral:tRNA from 1 species
GCAGGGAUGGCAGAGUGGUAAUUGCGGAAGCCCUAAAACCUUCUACUCAGGGGUUCAAUCCCCCUUCUCAGCU